rnacentral:piRNA from 1 species
UGGUAAACUUUCAUUCAAUUU